AACAAGAUUAUUUUUCAGUUUUUUUAUAUAAUAUUUUGACUCUUCAUUUUAUUUGAAAAUUUUUGGUAAUUAAUAUUUUUAUUUUUACUAAAUGAUAAAAUAUGAAUAGUACUUAAUACGUAUAAUUUUUUAGUUUUUUAUAAAUUUUCAAAUAAGACGAAUAAUCAAACGUUAGACACAAAAAACGAAAAAUGAGGUUAUU
rnacentral:pre_miRNA from 1 species